CGUGUCCCUUUCCUUCUGGGACAUGUUGCAAGUUCCUGGUUCUUUGGUCCGACUUUGUUUGUCUUUUAAACCACCGGUUCCCUCUGGUAAGUACAAACAGUGGAGAAAAGAGAGAGUGAGAGAGGGAAAAGGGUGGGGUACGCCCUUUCUAGAAUGUCUGGGUUUUUUUUUUUCUAAUUUUUUUUUGGCAACCAAUGUUUGGGGUA
rnacentral:lncRNA from 1 species